GAUGGAAAGAAAAUUUUUUUAGUGGGAUCCACAUAAAAAUUUUCUUUCCUUCCUAUUUUCUUUCAUAACCAAACAAAGAAAAAUAUCAUUUUCCAUUCAUUUUCUUUCCACUCAUUUUCUAUCAAACCAACCAUAGCGUAAAAAGAACUCUGAUGAACCUACCGGUUACCGGUGACGAAGUAUCUUAAGACGAACCUCGGAAAUUGCAUUCCAGCUUUUGACGGUAAAAGAAGAUCUACACUGCUGGACGGUUACGGUUUGAGUGGCAGGACUUCGUCGUCAAGCUUUCCGAUGAUGAUCGCAAAGGCUCUUCUUCUGCUGCUGCUUCUGGUUUGGCCAGAGAUACACCAAGGGAUUAACUAAGACCCAGGUAACUGCACUUCUGAAGGAAUUGUCAGCGUCUUCAAGAAAGGAGAAACUACAUCAAACAGAUUGCCAAGCAGCACAACUUUAACAAUGACAAAUACGUUCAGGAAUUUGGAAUUAAAGUAACAGAGGAUCUGCCAUUGAUUGAUGCUCGAGUCUUGCAUCCUCUAAUGAUAUAGGCAUUACUACUUGCAUUGAGAAUUGAGGUAGUUUUGUAGCUUCUCUUACUCUUUAUUAACUGAUAUAUUUUUUUUCUUACUUGUAGCAAUAUCAUGACCGUGGAAAAGAAAAAAUGGUUAACCCACCGAUAGGUGCGUGGAAUAUGAUUAAUAAGGGAAAAAAAAAAGGAAAAUGAAAUGCUGCCCAGUCCAAUAAGUAAACCCUAAUCCCCAAAGUUGAAUCAAAAUCGUCUGCUGAGAAUGAGAAUGGCUACCCAGUU